CGGGGACCCUAGGAGCAAGCUCCAGCCAGGAGGCCUCGUCCUGAUGGCUGUGUACCUGGAGGUCACCAGGCUUUUGCAGAAAAUCAAGAUAAAUUAAUGCUUUAAGUUGGAAGGAUUGAAAAGAUGAAGAAAAAAGGUGAUGUUUCAAGAAGUCAAGUUGCCUGGCCAAGACUUGAACCAGAGUCUCCCUGAUGCAGUUCACCUUUGGGCAUAUAGAAGAGAGGGAGAAUGGGUACAAGACUUGAAAGUCAUGCAAACCUUUCCUUUUCAAAGGAAACCAGGGCUCAGGAAUGUGGAGGAAAGAGCCCAAGUGACGCUGUCGGCUGGUGGCGGGACUGGGGUCCAUAGUUCCUCCCUUUGUGCCGUAGCCUCAGCUCUCUUUAAGAGCUGUGCUGUCCAAUAAGACAAAAGUGGGAGGAGCUCCUACUUGAUCUUACCCAUGAAGACCCUGGGAAAACUCCAGGCUUUAUCCAACACCACUGGAAUUCUACAAGUACAUGGUCUCAGCAUUUGGAAAACUCUGCGACGCCUCAGGCACAGCAUGGUCUUGAUUCCUGUCUUUGGUGUCUGAUCAUGUACAUCUCUCUUCAGUAGUGGAUGACAUUGUCACACCUCCCCAAAAUUCAGCAUGCACGCUACUGGCACACGUAUUCACUCUAAUCUCAUUCUUAUAGGCAGGCAAUGUUAUUAACCUUCGUUCUACAGCAGAGGCACUGAGCGGCCCAGAGAUGCUAACAAACUUCGCCCACUACUCAUCAAGAGACUUUAACCCAGGCAAUGUGGCUCUAGAACCUGUCCUACAACUAAUAGUCAGUUGGCUUCAAUGAAGUGACACCAGAGUGACGUGAUCACAUCCCCCAGUGGACAGACUUCCAUCCUAUACUCAGUAAGUUCCUGACUAUGUUUAAAGCUGAAAGAAUGGAGGGGCUUCUCUCUUUUCAUGACAUAAAAGAAUACAUGCCACACACAGCUUGGUCAUCAGUCACGUGACAUUAAACUUGGAUGGGCCAGACCCGAAAUGCCGCUGAGUUGCUAGGUUGCUUAGGUUCUUUUGCUCUGUGGACUGACAUGUUUUAUCCCUCCCAAAGGAGUAAUAGAACUCUUUAAAGACUUAUUUUAUUAUUAGAAGAUUGAUUUAUUUUUUAAAGUUCAUUAAACUAGGAACAUCGAUGGACUUUGGGAUAUUUACAGUUUCUACUAUUCUGACCACAAAGCUCACUCAUUCUUUCCAGCUCCAAGUAUGUGUCCUGUGAACCCAGGAGGUGCUGGUGGGAUGGGGAGCUGUCUGUUAAAAUGCUAAAUUGAUUGCAUUCAUCCGAUCCAUAUCUGUGUGCAGUGGGAUUUGAACCUAAGCUGGGCAAAUGAAUUAACCCUGUACCCUCUUGGCCUGUCAGCCCUCUAGGCAAAGCAGGAAUCAAAUGCAAUCCCCCUUAUGCUAAGGGGCUGUAGAGCUGUCAAUCAGAGUGAGGGGGUCUCAAGAGAGAACAUAAUGAGCCAUGGCCCCAGGGCAGGGGAGCCACGUUCCCGAAUGUCCUCAGCAGCAUGCCUCCAUGGAAGGAAUGCAUGCACUGGCAUGUUUCAGAGCUAAUAACAAGGUUUUUGAUUUGUUCCUAUAAUGAAGGAUUAUGUCUAAGCACACCAGUGAGUAGCAGGAGACUGUCAACACCCAGGUGGCCACUUUCCUAAGAAGCUGAGUGAGAGCAUGGGGUGAUUUUCCAAGGGGAAAUGCCUGCCCUCCCGUCACCAUCCAGGCAGGAAAAACAAUCAGCAGAGUUGAUGAGCAGUGAGGUCAAGGACAUUAGUAAGGACUCAAAUAACGAAGAGAACUCUGACAUCGAAACAGUCAAGGCUAGCCUGGGCUACAGAGCAAGUUCCAAGCCACUAACAUCUGAGGUCUAGUCUUUUCCAAGUCACAGAUCCACUGGUGUGAC